rnacentral:rRNA from 1 species
CCUACGGGAGGCAGCAGUGAGGAAUAUUGGUCAAUGGGCGCGAGCCUGAACCAGCCAAGUCGCGUGAGGGAAGACGGCCCUACGUGUUGUAAACCUCUUUUGCCGGGGAGCAACGGGCGCCACGUGUGGCGCCACUGAGAGUACCCGGAGAAAAAGCAUCGGCUAACUCCGUGCCAGCAGCCGCGUUAUUACGGAGGAUGCGAGCGUUAUCCGGAUUUAUUGGGUUAAAAGGGUGCGUAGGCGGAGCGUUAAGUCAGUGGUAAAAUUUAGGGGCUCAACCCCUUCCAGCCAUUGAAACUGGCGCUCUUGAGUGGAAGAGAAGUAUGCGGAAUGCGUGGUGUAGCGGUGAAAUGCAUAGAUAUCACGCAGAACCCCGAUUGCGAAGGCAGCAUGCCGGCUUCCGACUGACGCUGAAGCACGAAAGCGUGGGGAUCGAACAGGAUUAGAUACCCUAGUAGUC